UACGUAGGUGGCAAGCGUUGUCCGGAAUUAUUGGGCGUAAAGCGCGCGCAGGCGGUCCUUUAAGUCUGAUGUGAAAGCCCACGGCUCAACCGUGGAGGGUCAUUGGAAACUGGAGGACUUGAGUGCAGAAGAGAAGAGUGGAAUUCCACGUGUAGCGGUGAAAUGCGUAGAGAUGUGGAGGAACACCUGUGGCGAAGGCGGCCCCCUGGUUGGAUACUGACGCUGAGACGCGAAAGCGUGGGGAGCAAACAGG
rnacentral:rRNA from 1 species